UGCCCUACGGAGGCAGCAGUGGGGAAUAUUGCGCAAUGGGCGAGAGCCUGACGCAGCGACGCCGCGUGAGGGAUGAAGGUCUUCAGAUCGUAAACCUCUGUCAGCAGGGAAGAACGGUCACUGUGCUAAUCAGCAGUGAAUUGACGGUACCUGCAAAGGAAGCACCGGCUAACUCCGUGCCAGCAGCCGCGGUAAUACGGAGGGUGCGAGCGUUAAUCAGAAUUACUGGGCGUAAAGCGCUCGUAGGCGGUAUGUCAAGUCAAGGGUGAAAUCCCCGCGCUCAACGUGGGAACUUCCUUUGAAAC
rnacentral:rRNA from 1 species